UCAGGCUUCUCUCCACAAAGGUUCGGUAAUUAUCACCAUAAGAUAGCAAAGCCUUGGGAUGGAUGAGACAGCACCCAACGAAUGUAGAGAAGAGAGUUGGGGGCAGAAUUUUUGGCCAUUUCACAUGCCAGCGUGUGGGCUAACUCAUCUGACCCAGUGUUCUGAGACACGUGAGCUCUGAAACUCAGUGUGGAGAGAGGCACCGUUUGCUAUUGAAGCUUGAUGGAAAUGAGAACCCCUUGCAGCUUUACUUCAAAUACUGAUCACGGCCAGCAUGGGGCGCCAAACACCCGACGGUCCCCUCGUGAGGACACUGAAGGAACAGGCACUUCCAUCUCCCAGUUUCCUCCAUGAACCAGAUUACAAAAUGAGAUGAAGAUUAGGAAGAGAACCCCGGUUGCCUCAUCUCUGCCCUUUAAAGGGUGCGUUAGAUCAGGGUAAACUGCAGGGCAGGCCGGAGGCGGGUUCAACAUUCCAAGC